rnacentral:misc_RNA from 1 species
GAUGAAGAACGUAGCGAAAUGCGAUACUUGGUGUGAAUUGCAGAAUCCCGUGAACCAUCGAGUCUUUGAACGCAAGUUGCGCCCGAAGCCUCGGCUAAGGGCACGUCUGCCUGGGCGUCACGCAUCGCGUCUCCCCCAAACCGCCAAGGCGGAGGGGAAGGAAGAUGGCUUCCCGUGCCUCACCCGGCGCGGUUGGCCUAAAUUUGGAGCCCGCGGCACUUAGCUCUCGCGGCGAUAGGUGGUGAACAAGGCCUUGGCCGUGCAAACAACCCGCUGCGAAGCUCUAUGUCACGUGCGCUCGUCGGACCCUUUGAAGUUGCCUUCGGUGACUUAAAACCUUUGCGACCCCAGGUCAGGCGGGGCUACCCGCUGAAUUUAAGCAUAUCAAUAAGCGGAGGAU